ACUCAAAUGAAUAGACGGGGGCCCGCACAAGCGGCGGAGCAUGUGGAUUAAUUCGAUGCAACGCGAAGAACCUUACCUGGGUUUGACAUGCACCAGACGCUGCCGGAGACGGUAGUUCCCUUGUGGUUGGUGUGCAGGUGGUGCAUGGCUGUCGUCAGCUCGUGUCGUGAGAUGUUGGGUUAAGUCCCGCAACGAGCGCAACCCUCGUUCCAUGUUGCCAGCGGGUUAUGCCGGGGACUCAUGGGAGACUGCCGGGGUCAACUCGGAGGAAGGUGGGGAUGACGUCAAGUCAUCAUGCCCCUUAUGUCCAGGGCUUCACACAUGCUACAAUGGCUCAUACAGAGGGCUGCGAGACCGUGAGGUGGAGCGAAUCCCUUAAAGUGAGUCUCAGUUCGGAUCGGGGUCUGCAACUCGACCCCGUGAAGUCGGAGUCGCUAGUAAUCGCAGAUCAGCAACGCUGCGGUGAAUACGUUCCCGGGCCUUGUACACACCGCCCGU
rnacentral:rRNA from 1 species